AGCGCGUGAGGUGUGUGUUCACUACUCUCCUCUUAAAAAAAAGGUCUACUAUACAAAAAGAAAAGGUUCGAGUCGACAGAGAGGCGACUCUGAAAGCAAAAGAACGGAUACAUCUAUCCUCGAGCCGUUAUACUCCACUUGCCUAUUGUCAAAAAAAACAACAACCCAUCAAGCAUCAUGGGAAGAGGUAAAGGCGAGGAGUGGGAUGGAAUGGACGAGGACACGAGGCAGACUCAGCCUCGGAAGCACGAGGAGAACGAGAGUAAAAGCUCCGGGAGCAAAUGUCCCAAAUGCUGCGUGAAGACAAAAAAUUGUCUGAUGAGCCCAGAGUGCGGCAGGGCGCUUCAGAUCUCCCAGGUCGUCGCCAUGUGUGGAAUGUGCAUCCGCUGGUUUGUGUAACCUAACCUUGAACUUCCUGAGCAGUUUUUCCAGGCUGCGUUGAUUCUCAGCGUCCCUCAGCACCUUUCAUCAGAUUCAUGCCAUGUGUUUUUCUUUUCUGGACCGAGAUGGAAAUAUUCACUUUCAGCCCGUUUCAUCAGCUAAAACUCUCUUUUAAUUUCUCUACCCACAAGUUAUUUAUUUAACAUAAACAAUUCACUGUCUGUAUGUAAAACAAACUAAAGAGACAAUCAUUAUGAAUUCAUGAAUGGAUGAAUGUGACUUUGAUCUGCAUGUCUUUGUGAAAGGUUUAUUUGUCUGAUUGAUUAGAAAUAUGUUUUUAUUCAUGGUGAAGUAGUUUUUAGUAAUAAUAUGAAAUAACUGUAAUAUUAAGAUAAUAAUAAACAUGAUGUACCACCUCACGGUUGUAUGUCAUGGAUACAGUUUGUGUCUGUCCAAAAUGUCAUAAUUUUAUCCUGUUAGACAUUUGUGAGGAAUUGUCAUAAUUAGCAUAUGA